rnacentral:rRNA from 1 species
UACGUAGGGGGCAAGCGUUGUCCGGAUUUAUUGGGCGUAAAGAGCGUGUAGGCGGCCGUACAGGUCAGCUGUGAAAACUCGAGGCUCAACCUCGAGACGUCGGUUGAAACCGUAAGGCUAGAGUCCGGAAGAGGAGAGUGGAAUUCCCGGUGUAGCGGUGAAAUGCGCAGAUAUCGGGAAGAACACCCGUGGCGAAGGCGGCUCACUGGCCCGUAACUGACGCUCAUGCACGACAGCGUGGGGAUCAAACAGG